GAGGGUAUAGCUCAGUGGUAGAGUACGUGCCUAGCACGGGCAAGGUCCUGGGUUCAAUCCCCAGUACCUCCA
rnacentral:tRNA from 1 species